GAUGAACGCUAGCGAUAGGCCUAUCACAUGCAAGUCGAGGGGCAUCACGUCUUCGGAUGGUGGCGACCGGCGCACGGGUGAGUAACACGUAUGCAACCUGCCUUUAACAGGGGGAUAGCCCUAAGAAAUUGGGAUUAAUACCGCAUAAAACAGGGAUACCGCAUGGUAUUAUUAGUUAAAGAUUUAUCGGUUAAAGAUGGGCAUGCGCUGGAUUAGAUAGUUGGUAAGGUAACGGCUUACCAAGUCGGCGAUCCAUAGGGGAACUGAGAGGUUAGUCCCCCACACUGGUACUGAGACAGGGACCAGACUCCUACGGGAGGCAGCAGUGAGGAAUAUUGGUCAAUGGUCGAGAGACUGAACCAGCCAAAUCGCGUGAAGGAAGACGGUAUUAUGUAUUGUAAACUUCUUUUGAGAGGGAAUAAAGUGCGGGACGUGU
rnacentral:rRNA from 1 species